rnacentral:rRNA from 1 species
AACGAACGCUGGCGGCAGGCUUAACACAUGCAAGUCGAGCGCCCUGCAAGGGGAGCGGCAGACGGGUGAGUAACGCGUGGGAAUCUACCUUGAACUACGGGAUAGCUCCGGGAAACUGGAAUUAAUACCGUAUGUGCCCUUCGGGGGAAAGAUUUAUCGGUUCAGGAUGAGCCCGCGUCGGAUUAGCUAGUUGGUGGGGUAAAGGCCUACCAAGGCGACGAUCCGUAGCUGGUCUAAGAGGAUGAUCAGCCACAUUGGGACUGAGACACGGCCCAAACUCCUACGGGAGGCAGCAGUGGGGAAUAUUGGACAAUGGGCGCAAGCCUGAUCCAGCCAUGCCGCGUGAGUGAUGAAGGCCCUAGGGUUGUAAAGCUCUUUCACCGGGGACGAUAAUGACGGUACCCGGAGAAGAAGCCCCGGCUAACUUCGUGCCAGCCGCCGCAGUUAA